UCAUCGAGUGGGAGGGGGCGGAGGAGACACACUCAAAAGAGAGCACGCACGAGCCACGAUGGAGGAAAGAGAAAAGCUCAGUUCAUACAAAAAGGUACCAGUGAUGACAAGAGGAAACGUGCAAUGAUAACCAUCCAACUGAAAAGCAACUUAACGGCGAUCAAAGUUAAGGUGAUGGUGGAGAUAAAUAUGACGACAACCACAGAACCGGAUAUGGAACUUAUUGCGACGUAGCCGCAAGUGCAGCUCCGGAAGUGCUCGGCACCAAAAGUCAACAGUGAAUUGAAAAUAAUACAACAAAAUGGACGGCACACUGUCAAGUCGGGGGCAUUGAUGGGAGGUGGCUUAUUCUUUGCAACAUUUAUGGUAGAUGUUUUCAAUGUUGGUCAAGGUUUUUUUUUUUUUAAACAUUUGUAUGACAGUAAAGAAUGUUUGAUUUAUGAUUUAAACAGUGUGUUUGAAUAUAAAAGCAGUGUGGCAAAACUUUUCAUGUAGGUCCCUCCAUUUGAUGAAACUCAACUAUGAAACAAAGCAUCUCACUUGGCAGAGGUUGGCCGCAUUGCGGGAGGAGGGCGGCGGUGGGGGGACAAACGGUUGUGG